CAGUUCUCCCAAUGUUCCUUGGAUGUAGAGGGGUAGUAUUAUCCCUGUUGGACAGAUGGAGAACUGAGCCACAAACCGACUAACUGACCUUGCCAAUGUCACAGAGCAAAUCAGCAGCACAGCUGCCCAUAGCACCUGGGUCACAUAUGUGCUCCCUCUCCUUUAGCCAGAAAUUCUGUCUGCAGACUCAGAUGUAAAUCUACAAAGCACAAGGAAGCCUUCGGAGUAGAAGACUUUUACUGAUUCACAGCUUGGCUGUAAGGUGCUCAACUGAACUGCUGAAGAGUUGCACUAGACAUUUCCUAGACCUUCAGGCUGGGAGGAAGCCUUUUGAUCAUCUAUUUGAUCAUCUACCCUGCAAAACCAGCAGUCAGAGAAAUCCACCCAUUACUCCUAGAGAAGAGGGAAUUAUUCUCCUUUAUUAUCAAGCCCUGUAACUUGGGAUUGCAUUAGAAAUGGUGCCUUUUAGAUAGACAUCCGAACUCGAAUUCAAGACUCCAAGAAAUGGGGACUCCUAAUCUGUUGCAGCUAUUAAUUGUCCUUGUGAGUAUCAACCAGUGUCUGCAUUUGCGCUUCAGGUUGGGCACUCAGAAUCAUUGUGACAUUUGGUAAGUUUGGGCCUUUCUUAUGCAUCUAAAAUUAUAUAGAAUCAGAGUUAUAAAGAGGAUCAUAGACAUCCCAAGUCUCACUGCCCCAUUCUAAGCAACAGAUCAGAGUCCCCUCAUAAAACAAAAGGAUUUAUGAGUAGAUUAUACUGUAAUUUAGUUCAAAGUUUUCUCCAGUAAAAAAAUCUUUCUU